GACAGAGGGUGCAAACGUUGUUCGGAAUUACUGGGCAUAAAGGGCACGUAGGUGGUUCGCUAAGUUACGUGUGAAAUCCCCCGGCUCAACCGGGGAAUUGCGCGUGAUACUGGCGGACUCGAGGCGGGUAGGGGUGAGCGGAACUCCAGGUGGAGCGGUGAAAUGCGUAGAUAUCGAGAGGAACACCUGCGGCGAAGGCGGGUUGCUGGGCUGACACUGACGCUGAUGCGCGAAAGCCAGGGGAGCGAACGGG
rnacentral:rRNA from 1 species